GCAGUCGAGCGAACAGAUAAGGAGCUUGCUCCUUUGACGUUAGCGGCGGACGGGUGAGUAACACGUGGAUAACCUACCUAUAAGACUGGGAUAACUUCGGGAAACCGGAGCUAAUACCGGAUAACAUAUUGAACCGCAUGGUUCAAUAGUGAAAGGCGGCUUUGCUGUCACUUAUAGAUGGAUCCGCGCCGUAUUAGCUAGUUGGUAAGGUAACGGCUUACCAAGGCAACGAUACGUAGCCGACCUGAGAGGGUGAUCGGCCACACUGGAACUGAGACACGGUCCAGACUCCUACGGGAGGCAGCAGUAGGGAAUCUUCCGCAAUGGGCGAAAGCCUGACGGAGCAACGCCGCGUGAGUGAUGAAGGUCUUCGGAUCGUAAAACUCUGUUAUCAGGGAAGAACAAAUGUGUAAGUAACUGUGCACAUCUUGACGGUACCUGAUCAGAAAGCCACGGCUAACUACGUGCCAGCAGCCGCGGUAAUACGUAGGUGGCAAGCGUUAUCCGGAAUUAUUGGGCGUAAAGCGCGCGUAGGCGGUUUUUUAAGUCUGAUGUGAAAGCCCACGGCUCAACCGUGGAGGGUCAUUGGAAACUGGAAAACUUGAGUGCAGAAGAGGAAAGUGGAAUUCCAU
rnacentral:rRNA from 1 species